rnacentral:rRNA from 1 species
AGGCUUUGAUCCUGGCUCAGGAUGAACGCUAGCGGCAGGCUUAAUACAUGCAAGUCGAACGGUAACAGGCCUGGCAACAGGUGCUGACGAGUGGCGCACGGGUGCGUAACACGUAUGCAACUACCCUUUACUGGGGCAUAACCCUGAGAAAUCGGGGCUAAUACUCCAUGGUAUUAAUGAGAGGCAUCUUUUAUUAAUUAAAGAUUUAUCGGUAAAGGAUGGGCAUGCGCCCCAUUAGUUAGUUGGUAAGGUAACGGCUUACCAAGGCUAUGAUGGGUAGGGGAUCUGAGAGGAUUAUCCCCCACACUGGUACUGAGACACGGACCAGACUCCUACGGGAGGCAGCAGUAAGGAAUAUUGGGCAAUGGAGGGAACUCUGACCCAGCCAUGCCGCGUGCAGGAAGACGGCCUUAUGGGUUGUAAACUGCUUUUCUGCGGGAAUAAUCGCCUUCACGAGAUGGAGGUUUGCAGGUACCGUCAGGAAUAAGCAUCGGCUA